rnacentral:rRNA from 1 species
GACGAACGCUGGCGGCGUGCUUAACACAUGCAAGUCGAACGGAAAGGCCCUGCUUUUGUGGGGUGCUCGAGUGGCGAACGGGUGAGUAACACGUGAGUAACCUGCCCUUGACUUUGGGAUAACUUCAGGAAACUGGGGCUAAUACCGGAUAGGAGCUCCUGCUGCAUGGUGGGGGUUGGAAAGUUUCGGCGGUUGGGGAUGGACUCGCGGCUUAUCAGCUUGUUGGUGGGGUAGUGGCUUACCAAGGCUUUGACGGGUAGCCGGCCUGAGAGGGUGACCGGCCACAUUGGGACUGAGAUACGGCCCAGACUCCUACGGGAGGCAGCAGUGGGGAAUAGUGGACAAUGGGCGGAAGCCUGAUGCAGCAACGCCGCGUGCGGGAUGACGGCCUUCGGGUUGGAAACCGCUUUCGCCUGUGACGAAGCGUGAGUGACGGUAAUGGGUAAAGAAGCACCGGCUAACUACGUG